AGGACGAACGCUGGCGGCGUGCUUAACACAUGCAAGUCGAGCGGUAAGGCCUUUCGGGGUACACGAGCGGCGAACGGGUGAGUAACACGUGGGUGAUCUGCCCUGCACUUCGGGAUAAGCCUGGGAAACUGGGUCUAAUACCGGAUAUGACCUCCUAUCGCAUGGUGGGUGGUGGAAAGAUUUAUCGGUGCAGGAUGGGCCCGCGGCCUAUCAGCUUGUUGGUGGGGUAAUGGCCUACCAAGGCGACGACGGGUAGCCGACCUGAGAGGGUGACCGGCCACACUGGGACUGAGACACGGCCCAGACUCCUACGGGAGGCAGCAGUGGGAAUAUUGCACAAUGGGCGAAAGCCUGAUGCAGCGACGCCGCGUGAGGAUGACGGCCUUCGGGUUGUAAACCUCUUUCAGCAGGACGAAGCGCAAGUGACGUACCUGCAGAAGAAGCACCGGCUAACGUACGUGCCGAGCAGCCGC
rnacentral:rRNA from 1 species